UACGGAAGGGGCGAGCGUUGUUCGGAUUUACUGGGCGUAAAGGGCGCGUAGGCGGUCAGCACAAGUCAGUUGUGAAAUCUCCGGGCUUAACUCGGAAAGGUCAACUGAUACUGUGCGACUAGAGUGCGGAAGGGGCAACUGGAAUUCUCGGUGUAGCGGUGAAAUGCGUAGAUAUCGAGAGGAACACCUGCGGCGAAGGCGGGUUGCUGGGCCGACACUGACGCUGAUGCGCGAAAGCUAGGGGAGCGAACGGG
rnacentral:rRNA from 1 species